CCUACGGGAGGCAGCAGUGGGGAAUAUUGCACAAUGGGGGAAACCCUGAUGCAGCGACGCCGCGUGAGUGAAGAAGUAUUUCGGUAUGUAAAGCUCUAUCAGCAGGGACGAAAAUGACGGUACCUGAUUAAGAAGCCCCGGCUAACUACGUGACAGCAGCCGCGGUAAUACGGAGGGGGCAAGCUUUAUCGGGAUUUACGGGUGUAAGGGGAGCGUAGACGGGAGCACAAGUCUGUGGUGAAAUGCCUGGGCUGAACCCCGGAACUGCUUUGGAAACUGUGCAGCUAGAGUGCAGGAGAGGUAAGUGGAAUUCCUAGUGUAGCGGUGAAAUGCGUAGAUAUUAGGAGGAACACCAGUGGCGAAGGCGGCUUACUGGACUGUAACUGACGUUGAGGCUCGAAAGCGUGGGGAGCAAACAGGAUUAGAUACCCCUGUAGUC
rnacentral:rRNA from 1 species